AUUGAACGCUGGCGGCAUGCCUUACACAUGCAAGUCGAACGGCAGCACGGGGCAACCUGGUGGCGAGUGGCGAACGGGUGAGUAAUGCAUCGGAACGUGCCAUUGAGUGGGGGAUAACGUAGCGAAAGUUGCGCUAAUACCGCAUAUUCUGUGAGCAGGAAAGCAGGGGACCGCAAGGCCUUGCGCUCUUUGAGCGGCCGAUGUCAGAUUAGCUAGUUGGUGAGGUAACGGCUUACCAAGGCGACGAUCUGUAGCGGGUCUGAGAGGAUGAUCCGCCACACUGGAACUGAGACACGGUCCAGACUCCUACGGGAGGCAGCAGUGGGGAAUUUUGGACAAAUAGGGCGGCCAAGCCUGAUCCAGCCAUGCCGCCGUGAGUGAAGAAAGGA
rnacentral:rRNA from 1 species